CAAGGGCCUCUCCUCCCAUUGAUGUCCAACAAGGCCAUCCAAUGGUGCAUAUGGGGCUGGAGACAUGGAUCCCUCCAUGUGUACUCUUUGGUUGGUGGUUUAGUUACUGGGAGUUCUGGGGUACUGGUUGGUUGAAUUUGUUGUUCCUCCUAUGGGACUGCAAAGCCCUCCAGCUCCUUGGAUGCUUUCUCUAGUUCCUCCAUUAGGGAUCCUGUGCUUAGUCAAAUGGUAGGCUGAGAGCAUCCACCUCUGUAUUUGUCAGGCACUGACAGAGCCUCACAGGAGACAGCUAUAUCAGGCUCCUAUAGCAAGAGCUUGUUGGCAUCAACAAUAGUGUCUGAGUUUGGUGAAUAUAUAUGUGAUGGGUCUACAUGUAAGGAUGUGUCUGGAUGGUCUUUCCUUCAGAGUAUGCCCCACACUUUUUGUCCAUAUCUCCUCCCAUGGGUAUUUUGUUUCCCCUUCUAAGAUGGACCAAUGUAUCCAUACCUUGGUCUUCCUUCUUUUUGAGCUUCAUAUGGUUCAUGAAUUGUAUCUUGGGUAUUCCAAACUUCUGGGCUAAUAUCCACUUAUCAGUGUCUGUUCUCUCAUGAUUAGGUUACCUCACUCAGGAUAUUUUCUAGCUCCAUCCAUUUGCCUAAGAAUUUCAUCAAUUCUUUGUUUUCAAUAUCCGAGUAGUACUCCAUUGUGUAAAUGCACCACAUUUUCUGUAUCCAUUUCUCUGUUGAAGGACAUCUGGGUUGUUUCCAGCUUCUAGCUAUUGUAAAUAAGACUGCUAUGAACAUAGUGGAGCAUGCGUCUUUAAUACAUGGUGGAGCAUCUUCUGGGAAUAUGCCCAGGAGUGGGAUAACUGGGUCCUCCAGUAGUACUUUGUCCAAUUUUCUGAGGAACUGCUAAACUGUUUUCCAGACUGGAUGUGCUAGCUUGCAAUCCCACCAGCAAUGGAAGAGUGUUCCUUUUUCUCCCGACUCUUCUCAGCACCUGCUGUCCCCUGAGUUUUUGAUCUUAGCCAUUCUGACUAUGAGGUAGAAUCUCAGGGUUGUUUUGAUAUGCAUUUCCAUGAUAACUAAGUAUGUUAAACAUUUCUUUUUUAUUGGGUAUUUUAUUUUUUCUUUAAUUAUAAUUGAAAUGUUAUCCCCUUUUCUGGUUUCCCCUCCUAAAAUCCCUAUCCCAUCCCCCUCCCCCUGCUCACCAACCCCCCACUCCUACUUUCCUGUCCUGGUAUUCCUCUGUAUGGGGCAUCGAGCCUUCUCAGGACUAAGGGCCUCUCCUCCCUUCAGUGUCCAACAAUGCCAUCCUCUGCUACCUAUACAGCUGGAGCCAUGCGUCCCUCCAUAUGUAAUCUUUGCUUGGUAGGUUAGUCCCUGGCAGUUCUUGGGGUGCUGGUGGGUUCAUAUUGUUGCUCCUUCUAUCUGGCUGCAAGCUCCUUGCCAUCAGAUCCUUGGGUCCUUUCUCUAGCUUCUAUAUUGGGGUCCUUGUGCUCAGUCCAGUGGUUGGCUGAGAGCACCCAUCUCUGUAUUUGUCAGGUACUGGCAGAGCCUCUCAGGAGACAGCUAAAUCAGGCUUCUGUCAGCAAGCACUUGUUGGCAUUCACAAUAGUGUCUGUAUAUGGGAUAUUGGUGACUAUAUAUGGAAUGGAACCCCAGGUGGGUCAGUCUCUGGAUGGUCUUUCCUUCAGUCUCUGCUCCACACUUUGUCUAUCUUCUCUCAUGGGUAUUUUGUUCCACCUUCUAAGAAGGACCUACGUAUCCAUACUUUGGUUUUUCAUCUUCUUGAGCUUAAUUUGUCUGUAAAUUGUAUCAUGGGUAUUCCAAACUUCUGGGCUAACAUCCACUUAUCACUGAGUGCAUACCAUGUGUGUUCUUUUGUGAUUGGGUUACCUCACUCAGGAUGAAAUUUUCUAUUUCUAUCCAUUUGCCAAGAAUUUCAUGAAUUCAAUGUUUUUAAUAGCUGAGUAAUAUUCCAUUGUGUAAAUAUACCACAUUUUAUGUAUCCAUUCCUCUGUUGAGAGACAUCUGGGUUCUUUCCAGUUUCCAGCUAUUAUAAAUCAGGCUGAACCUAGUGGAGCAUUUUCUGGUAUAUGCCAGGAGUGGUAUAGCUGGGUUCUCAGGUCGUACUAUGAUUUUCUGAGGAACUACCAAGCUGAUUUCUAGACUGGUUGUACCAGCUUGCAAUCCCACCUCCACAUCCUUGACAGCACUCUUGUCACCUGAGUUUUUGAUCUUAACUUUUCUGACUGAUGUGUAGCUGAAUCUCAAGGUUGUUUUGAUUUGCAUUUCCCUGAUGAGUAAUGAUGUUGAACAUUUCUUUAGGUGCUUCUCAGCCUUUCAUUAUUCCUCUGUUGAGAAUUCUUUGUUUAGCUCUCUGAGUUCAAUUCCCAUCAAAUACAUGAUAGAUCGCAUCCAUCUGUAAUAGGAUCUGAUGCCCUGUUCUGGUGUGUCUGAAGACAGGACAUCCUGUAGUAAUAAGAGAAAAAGGCCCCACAACACAGGGCUUAUUCAUCAUUUCUUCCAAUGAGACAUCGUGCAAAAAGCUGAAGGAAACAUUGGGUUCUAGGGAAGAAGUGGAUAUAAAAUAUCACUCAGUCCAUGAAGUGGCCUGGAUCCUAAAGAUUAGACAUGGUUGCAGUGUGGUAAGAAACAUCAUUUUUUCAUCCACAUGGAGCAAAUACUUCAUGUUCCCGAAUUCUCCAUCUAACAUCAGCAACGUAAAGAAUUAGAACAUGGACUCAGCAGUUGCCACAGUGGGAGGACAUGGACCCCUGGCCAUUGUGCACUGGCGGAAAGUCCAGUGGCUCCUCUUCUCUAGGAGAGUAUUAUAGGAUAUGUUAUCCAUAAUUGCGGGAAGGGGCCAAAGUUCAUAUCAAAUAUUCUGAUUCGUACCAGAAAAACCACACUGGUCCCUGAGGGAUAAGAUUUACACUGAACUACAUAUUAACUGUAGUGAAGAAUCUGUGCUCAUAGUAGCUUCCGUUU